UACGAAGGGUGCAAGCGUUACUCGGAAUUACUGGGCGUAAAGCGUGCGCAGGCGGUGAUGUAAGACAGGUGUGAAAUCCCCGGGCUUAACCCGGAAACUGCCAUUGAUACUAUUUGUCUUGAAUACUGUGGAGGUCAGCGGAAUAUGUCAUGUAGCGGUGAAAUGCUUAGAUAUGACAUAGAACACCAAUUGCGAAGGCAGCUGGCUACACAAAUAUUGACACUGAGGCACGAAAGCGUGGGGAUCAAACAGG
rnacentral:rRNA from 1 species